GACGUAGGUGGCGAACGUUUAUCCGGAAUUAUUGGGCGUAAAGGGUGCGUAGGCGGCAUGAUAAGUUAUUGGCGGCAAAUCGAGGCUCAACCUCGUGGAAACUGAUAAUACUGUCUUGCUUGAGUGCAGAAGAGGUUAACGGAACUCCAUGUGGAGCGGUAAAAUGUGUAGAUAUAUGGAAGAACAUCAAUAACGGCGAAGGCAGUUAACUAUUCUGUUACUGACGUUGAGGCACGAAAAGCGUGGGGGAGCAAAAAAGG
rnacentral:rRNA from 1 species